GGUUCCAUAGUGUAGAGGUUCGCACAUCUGCUUUACAUGCAGAAGGUCCUGGUUUUAUACCCCAAUGGAGCCA
rfam:Pteropus alecto contig96037, whole genome shotgun sequence.